rnacentral:lncRNA from 1 species
GUAAACGGAAAGAUUUCAUAUAUUUAAUCAACUCGGUUACAUUACAUGGAACACAAUCUGAAAAAGAUAUUACAUAAUCUCCUAUAUAUUAACCAUGAAAAAGAAGGUGAAAUGUUAAACUAUCUUGUAGUAGCCCCAUUCUUGAUCUUUCUAUCAACAACCUAGCCAUGCAUCAUCUUUGUCUUCAUCAGCCUUCAUGCUACUUAGCCCACCAAAACGCCAUAUAUUUAGGUACGGAGGGAGUAGAUGACAAGCUUCUCUAUGAACUUCUCUCGACGCCUUCUUUGACAUUGCUAUAGGAUGAACCACCACCACCCUGCACAUCACGAGUACUAGAACUGACUGGCAAAGCGCCACUACAAUAGAUUAAAUAAACAGAAUGAAAAUUCGACAUGUGGAGAUGGAAGCCGCAUGCAAAACUUAAAUAUUCUAGGAUUAAUCAUUUAUUGAAGGAAUGCUCAAUCAGUUCAGUGUACUGUAAAUGACCAAUACAAAUUCUUGUUGUUCCUUAUUCCUAGCAGAGGCUCGAUUUAAUUGUAACAAGAAUGUAUAACUGGGAAGUAGGCAUGCCAGUCUGUUAGGGACUCUUAAAGUUUGUCCCCUCAAUAUUUUUCUUUUCUUUUGCCAUAUGUCACAAACCAAACAUACAUUAGGACCAUAUAUAUCAAACAUAUAGACAUGCAUGUUGUCAUCAACAUGGUUCCCUCUUAGUACGAAAAAGGAAGUCUCAUCCUAAGAUCAAAGAUUAGCCACGUUAAGGCAUCUAGAUUAUAGCAUACAGAAAAAUAGUAAAUUGUAUACUGCAAGUGGGUAAUUGAAACUUUAAGAUAGCCACACACAUAUACUGUUAUUUUGUUGUCCAGCCAAUUAAAUAAAGAGUAACUUGAAGUAACCUCACAAAAAGAAAACUUGAACUAAGAUAAUGGAAACUUAUUGUGCCAUAUAACUUACAUUCAGGUGUGAAUUUCGUUCCAGAAAGCUUCUACAGACCAACAAAAAUCCCUUCGACAACAUCCUAUAUGGGUAAUUGGGAAUAUAGUUCGUGGAGAUAAUUUUAAAAAACUUGGUUUAUGUGUAUUUUGUCACCAGUUCCUCAAGGCAAGUCUAAAGCAACCCACAUUCAGGUAUCAUGUGAUAAGUUCAACAGAAGUUUCAGACAAUGAACAACUCACGUUAGAAUUUCUAUCUAAAGUGUUUUCUAUAUUAUAAGCACCUUUCAAAAAAACUUAACCAGAAGUGCAAAAUGGAGCUCGAACUCCAGGUAGCUCUUUAUCUGAAACAUCCAUGUGCAAAAAGUUUGGUGAAAUCACCAUAUUUGGGCAUUUUAUACUACUAGUCGUUAAACCGCGCAUUCACAUGGGCUAGUGUUUAUCUUGUGUGGCUUUGUGGGUUUUCAACUCUUAACUUACUACCUAGAAAUAUUUACCAGUAAUCUAUGUUUUGUGUGAUUUUUUCUACCAUAAAAUGAUUUUUUUCUUUCUAAAUUUGCAGUUCAACAUGGAACACGCUACCUAUAGUACAAUACUCGAGCAAUAAAAAUAAAUCGUCCAAAAGUUUUGACGUGACGACUUUCAUUUUCAGAUAUACUAAUCUUUUUUCUAUCAGGAAAUAACAAAUCUUUUUUCUUUUGCAGGGGAGAAAAUAAUUAAUCUGGUGUUCUUGUAAGCUUAAAAUACGGCCUGCUAUCUUAGUAAUAUUAACAUUGUAAUUGUUCGAACUGUUCACAUUGCAUUCAAGUUCUAGAUGAUUUAGAUACAAAUAAACUAACCAUCCCCAGCAAAAAAAUGUAACCAUAUUUUCAUAUAUAUUGAAGGGAAUUAUAAAAUUUUGUCCUACAAUAUAAGAAAUAAGUCGGGGUUUGCAACAUAUUGGGUACUAUACAGAUCAGUCCAAACGGACUGAAUUGACUCAUUCUCAUAUCCCGACAAACUGUUCUCAAACAGACUAUAUUGAAGCAUGUACAUUAGUAGAUUGAAGUAUGGUUUGAAAGAGCAUGGAAAAGCAUUAACACUACCAUGUAGUGAAAGUUCCACAAAAGCUUCAAGCACACUAUAUUGAUGCGUUGGCGAGAAUCAAAGCAUUACUCUGGUUCUCCGCAAGAGCACGUCUUUACAGCAAGCUAGAGGCCGACACAUGUAACCAGAUUGGAUUGAUCGUACUUAGCCCUUCCUUUAACCUAGGUGCAAGUGUUUCCUCCCCACGUGUUCCUUGCCCUCAGUCCUACUCACCUGCGGUACAGCGGGCAAUCUUUCCAUCUAGGCCAGCAGACAACACGCCACAAGUGAUCUGAUGUUCUGAUUCUACCACUGUAAGUCCUCUGCCUCUCCGCUUGACAACACCCUGCACAGAUCAUUGCCUGAAACAUAUAGCCAUCUGGUCAGUGAUGUUUUCAAGGGGACUAAUGAAAGACGCCAAGCUGCAUGAAAAAUAAUCAUACAUUGAAAUUAAUUAAUAAGAAGGGAAAACGGUGUGAGCUGUACAUAUAAUGAACAUUGAUGUAUAUAAUGAGAU